ensembl:lncRNA
GUCGGGUAGAUGUCGUUAGGUGUCGGGUAGAGGUCGCUAGGUGUCGCGUUGAGGUCGCUAGGUGUCGGGUAGAGGUCGCUAGGUGUCGGGUAGAGGUCGCUAGGUGUCGGGUAGAGGUCGCUAGGUGUCGGGUAGAGGUCGCUAGGUGUCGGGUUGAGAUCGCUAGGUGUCGGGUUGAGGUCGCUAGGUGUCGGGUUGAGGACGCUAGGUGUUGGGGUGUUAUGUGGUUGAGUUUGUGAGCCUGUUCAUGUUAACAGAGUGUGUGAGCCUGUAGAUGUUGACAGAGUGUGUGUGUUGCAGGGCAGUGUGGGUACUGGGGUGCAGGUGGUCUCAUAACUGUGUGUGUGUGUGAGCCUGUUGAUGUUGACAGAGUG